rnacentral:rRNA from 1 species
AUUGAACGCUGGCGGCAGGCCUAACACAUGCAAGUCGAGCGGAUGAAGGGAGCUUGCUCCUGGAUUCAGCGGCGGACGGGUGUGUAAUGCCUAGGAAUCUGCCUGGUAGUGGGGGAUAACGUCCGGAAACGGGCGCUAAUACCGCAUACGUCCUGAGGGAGAACGUGGGGGAUCUUCGGACCUCACGCUAUCAGAUGAGCCUAGGUCGGAUUAGCUAGUUGGUGGGGUAAAGGCCUACAAAGGCGACGAUCCGUAACUGGUCUGAGAGGAUGAUCAGUCCCACUAGAACUGAGACACCGUCCAGACUCCGACGGAAGGCAGCAGAGUCAGAUAUUGGACAUUGGGCGAAAGCCUGUCCCAGCCAUGCCGCGUGUGUGAAGAAGGUCUUCGGAUUGUAAAGCACUUGUAGUUGGGAGGAAGGGCAGUAAGUUAUAACGUUGCUGUUUUGACGUGACCAACAGAAUAAGCACCGGCUAACUACGUG